GGGAGAGCUAGGCUCCGCCGCGGGGAGUGGUGGAGAGGCUUCUUUCCGGCGGGAAGAAUGCCUCGCCAAUCCGGUGGCUCUCAACCGCUGAGCCCUGGUUCUUGUCAUCUCGAAAAGAUUCUUCGAACUCUGUGGAGGUCGUGUGCUCCUCCUCCACCAAUCACAACGACCCCCCUUCUGGCGCGCCAAACCUGUUGCGGCCAAUCCCCUCGU
rnacentral:lncRNA from 1 species